rnacentral:miRNA from 1 species
GAUAGCGCCGGCUCUGCGCGUGUGUGUGUGUGUGUGUGUGUGUGUGUAUAUAUAUAUAUAUAUACACACACACACACACACACACACACACAGACACACUCA